GACGAACGCUGGCGGCAUGCCUAACACAUGCAAGUCGAACGAGACCUUCGGGUCUAGUGGCGCACGGGUGCGUAACGCGUGGGAACCUGCCCUUAGGUUCGGAAUCACUCCCCGAAAGGGGUGCUAAUACCGGAUAAUGUCUUCGGACCAAAGAUUUAUCGCCUUUGGAUGGGCCCGCGUUGGAUUAGCUGGUUGGUAGGGUAAAAGCCUACCAAGGCGACGAUCCAUAGCUGGUCUGAGAGGAUGAUCAGCCACACUGGGACUGAGACACGGCCCAGACUCCUACGGGAGGAAGCAGUGGGGAAUAUUGGACGAUGGGCGAAAGACUGAUCCAGCAAUGCCGCGUGAGUGAUGAAGGCCUUAGGGUUGUAAAGCUCUUUUACCCGGGAUGAUAAUGACAGUACCGGGAGAAUAAGCUCCGGCUAACUCCGUG
rnacentral:rRNA from 1 species